GACGAACGCUGGCGGCGUGCCUAAUACAUGCAAGUCGAGCGAAUCAAUAGGAGCUUGCUCCUGUUGGUUAGCGGCGGACGGGUGAGUAACACGUGGGCAACCUGCCUGUAAGACUGGGAUAACACCGGGAAACCGGUGCUAAUACCGGAUAAUCCUUUUCCUCUCAUGAGGGAAAGCUGAAAGUCGGUUUCGGCUGACACUUACAGAUGGGCCCGCGGCGCAUUAGCUAGUUGGUGAGGUAACGGCUCACCAAGGCGGCGAUGCGUAGCCGACCUGAGAGGGUGAUCGGCCACACUGGGACUGAGACACGGCCCAGACUCCUACGGGAGGCAGCAGUAGGGAAUCUUCCACAAUGGACGAAAGUCUGAUGGAGCAACGCCGCGUGAGCGAUGAAGGCCUUCGGGUCGUAAAGCUCUGUUGUUAGGGAAGAACAAGUACCGGAGUAACUGCCGGUGCCUUGACGGUACCUAACCAGAAAGCCACGGCUAACUACGUGCCAGCAGCCGCAGUAAGAC
rnacentral:rRNA from 1 species